CCUACUUUUCUCCUCCUUUCUGCCUCUUGGUCCAUGGCCGCGCGUCUGCACCAGCCAAGUAGCGUGAAGGAUGACUGCCCUAUGGGUUGUAAACUUCUUUUAUAAAGGAAUAAAACGAGGCACGUGUGCCUUUUUGCAUGUACUUUAUGAAUAAGGAUCGGCUAACUCCGUGCCAGCAGCCGCGGUAAUACGGAGGAUCCGAGCGUUAUCCGGAUUUAUUGGGUUUAAAGGGAGCGUAGAUGGGUUGUUAAGUCAGUUGUGAAAGUUUGCGGCUCAACCGUAAAAUUGCAAUUGAUACUGGCAGUCUUGAGUACAGUUGAGGUAGGCGGAAUUCGUGGUGUAGCGGUGAAAUGCUUAGAUAUCACGAAGAACCCCGAUUGCGAAGGCAGCUUACUAAACUGUGACUGACAUUGAUGCUCGAAAGUGUGGGUAUCAAACAGGAUUAGAUACCCCAGUAGUC
rnacentral:rRNA from 1 species